AUGCUGACAUACUAGGUACAAGAUACAAACAUCUCAUAUCCAUAUCUCUCUGAUUCAAAACAUUGUUUGAAAAGUCUCUCUAGGAUGCACAAGGGCAGAGACUAGGGAAAGACAAAGAUCUCAAAAAGGAAGAUUUCCUUGAUGUAUUUUAAAGGGCAAGCUAAUAAACAUACUCUCUUCUCAUUUGCAUCUGUAAUACCCAUAUAUCCACUGUGUUGUGAUCCUUAUUUCUAGGAAUAUCUUCUGAGAGAGCCCUCUCCUGUGUAUAUUUUAAAUGGAACAGGCAAACACAUUGGACACAAAUGUUGUGGGCUCUAGUUCCUCCUUCAUGUUCAAUGGAGCCACAAACUCAGAGUCAAAAUGAAUAAUUUUUUUACAAUGUUAUAUUAACAAACUACAAAAGAGUAGGUUAAGCAGAUUUUCAUUAGGGUAAGGCUGUUGCUCAAACCUUUGAGCUCCCUGUUCUUGAAAAUGGGUUACCAGAGCAAUCACAUCUCUCAGCAGUAAGGGAUGCUACUUAUUUACCUCUUAAUCAAGAAUAUUUUGGUGCCCAGACUAAUGAAGUGUGUGUGUGGCUUGUUCAUAUUGUGUUUAGUUAUUGACAAGAAAGAAGGAAGAAAGGGGAAAACUGAUUAUGAUAUGAGACUCCUAAAUAGCCAAGAUAAUCAUUCUAAGGAAGACCAAAUAUUGGCUGCCUGCUUUAGGGACAGAAAUUUAGAUAAGAAGGAAUCUGAGAUUCUAAAAGAAUAAAGUGCUAGAAGCCUAAUAAAAAUUAAUUAGGAGUCAAAAUCUGUCCAGACAAGAGCCAGUGAAACUUAAAUUAAAGCUGUCUGUAGAAACCUAUAUGAGUGACUUGAUUUUCAGAGAUACUCAGCACCUCUGACAAUCAGGCCCUAACUGACUAACAUUGAGCCCUCAAAAAUAAUUUGCCACACCCUACUUUAGGGGCCAGUUUAGGCACCCAACUCUGAAAGUGUUGAUCAAUUUUCCUUUAAGGGUGAGGGAAAUAAAAGUUCAAUUGCAGUAAAGGAAAUUACUAUGGAAGGUCUGCAAUUGAGGAAUUUGCUGAGUGGAAAGAAAAUAUGAAAGUGGAAAGAAAAUAUGUAACUACUGUAUGGGUUUAACAAAUGGGGCCUGAUCCUAAACUACAGAAAUCCAGGAGGCCUUAAAAGAAUUAAGGCUUAAGUAGCUGUGUAGUGUGGAGCCUGACUUAGCGGAACAACUUGGAUCUGUAAAAGAUGGCAAGGAGUAUUGAGGGAAGACCCAGAAAGUCUGUAAUCUACUCCUGCAACAACCAUUCCCCCAGAUUUAUGAAGCAGAAGUCCAAAGAGAGUAUUGAGAAAUUUAGCAACACCAAGAAAGAGCAAAGGGCUAGCAAGGAACAAAGUGCCAUUCAAGUUCCAAAACUCAUAGGAGACCCAGGAGAGUGCUUAAUCUGCAAUUGGGGCUAAAAGGUUAAGUAACAUGUAAAAAAGAGCUAGGAACAUAUUAUGGGAAAACUAGGGAAAGAAGAUGGUACCAUUUAUUAAGAAUCUCCUUAUAUCAUUAAAUAAACAUAUCAAAUUAAGUCAAAUAUAUUUGUAUUAUGUGUAGAAAGGCUUGGAGGAAGGAUAGGAGCCAGUAGCUAUAUGUGUAAUCAGACCUCCUGCAUGUCUACUGAUUAAAAGUCUUUAUAUACAUAUGAUUUGCAUAAAAGUAGCCUCUCAUGAAAGUAAAGAGUUGAGAGCAAAGUUAACAACUUCAAUAAUUCUCAAAGCAAAAAAGAAAAAAGGAUACGGACAAGAUUCAGAGGUGAGUCUAGAGAGAGCCUAAAAUAUUAUAAUUUAUACCUUCUUCUGGCUCCCUCAAUUUGCUCUUCUCUUUCUGAAGAUCAUGGGGGGACUUAGACUCCCUCUAGAAUCUGUUAGGAUUUAGAUUCAUUCUAGAUUCCUAACCACUUAGUGACUUGUAGCUGCACAUGCACAUAAACACAUACUUAUAUAUCACUGAAUUUAUAUAUCACUGCGUCAACAUGUAAGAGCUAAUGGGUAGGUAUAACUCACAUACCAAGGAAUCAGAAGAGUGGAAAUUACCAAGAAAAGCAAACGGGGGGAUUUAAGGGUGUGAAUAAUUCUAUCUCUUAUUUUAAAGUUAGGAGGGGUCAUUUUAGGCCCCAGUUCUGCCACUGUUAGUCAUGUUAGGUAGGAACUUGCUCCACAAGCAGUCCCAUUGAUUUAAACCUGAAAGUAGUAAAUCUCUGGAUGUCUGUGGGAAAACUAGGGAAAGAAAAUGGUACUCUAAUUUGACACCAUCUUUGACAUCAUGUCUGAAUAUGAUUCAGUAAAAGAAAACAAAUCAGGAGAAGUUCAGCUCUAUGGAGUAAUCAUCUUGAAAAUUGCAGUACACGCAGUUGUGUCUACUCAGUCUCUGUGGGAGAGGACAGACUUAAAUCUGGGCAUAAAGGCUUUGGACGAAUAGCUGCAAUUCAUGGAAUAACAACUUCAGUGCUAUGCUAAAUUUGCUUCUCAAAAUAAGGAGAUUUUUAACUUUUCCAUACCUUACAACCAGUUCUCAUUUUGGAGCAUGUCCUUCAUUUUAGACCCAAAAGUGCCUCUGUUUCACACAAACCUGUUUUGUGUGGGUCCACUGGAAUUACUAUAAGUUGUGACAUAAAAAUGCUAACUUAUUAAAUGAAUUCUGUAUAAAUAUUGACAGAAUAGGAUAAUCCUAUCUCAUUUUAAGAUUUCUUUGGCAUUGUUUUUGUGAUGUUCCAUAGUCUGGGUUUGCGCCACACGAUACCUUUUUAAUUAUCCUGGUAGGUCAGACAUAUAUUUGUAAUACAUUUUUAUAAGAGAACUAGUUUUUAAAAUGCUGAUCAACAAUAGCUGGGCUCUAGAGUACAACUAAAAUAAUUAUGGUCAUGAUUUUAUGUGAAAGAACCUUAUCUACUCACUCUCAUCAACAGGUGUAGUCCUUGGCUGUUAGAGAUAUCAGAUGACCAACCUUUUGUGGAAAAUAUUUCUGGUUCUGGAGCAGAAGAUAAAGCAAGGACCAAAGUAAUAUCAGUUUUAUUUCCAAAUGGAAGAUAGUAGGACUGGAUCCAAAGCCCAGUCCUCCUUUGUUGACUUCUUUCGUCACUGGAUGCUGGUCAGCUGUUCAGCAGGCACGGAGGGGGCAUCUCUUAAGGUCGCUACACCAGAGGCUGCUAAUUAACACAGAGAUACAGAAGCACUUUGCAACUCAAGCUAUGGAGGACAGGCCCUGUUGGAAAAUGGCCCAAACAUCAGCUCACAACUCCAAAAUGGAGCUUUCAGCAAACAAAGACAACAAUUCAUUGGGAUGAAGAUACACACACACUCUUCUGCGGGAAACAUUGUGGAGGACACCUGAACCUUCCAUGGUCACUAACAGAGGACAGCAGAACUGGACUUAGGAAAAUUACUUGGGUAUAUGUGGAUAGUAGAUAAAUUAUUUAACACUAGUGCAUUCCCUUUGCAAUAUCAGUCCUUACCAAAGUAAAUGCCUUGCAUUAAAUACAGUAAGUUAAAAAACCCCUCAUUGAUAUGUCUCCAUUAUAUGCUAAAAUAGUUUUACUGCUCAUAGCCUUAAAAUUAAUUACCAUUUGGAAGCGCUAUCUCAGCAUGGUCCAGUAAAAUAAAUUGGCUCACUUAGAGGGCCAAGUCAUUGGUGGUGGUCUCCUUUUAUGAUGCUUGAAAACCCAAAGCAAACAUGUUUUUCUCAACGUAGACUCAUGAAUUUUUACAGAAGGCUUAUGUUGCUUUCUUAUUUAUUCAUCCUGUCUAUUACUGUAUGUAACUCUCUUUGUAAAUCGCCUCCCAUUCUAAGGUAAUCAUUAUCCAGCCUUCCUGCAUGUGACAUGUUUGUGUUUUAUUUGCCAAAGCAGUGCCAUCAAAAUCUUUUGAGGAGCUUCUUGUGUGUCUUUUCUCUUCCAUAUUCUGUGUGCAUUGUCUCAAUGACAAAUCAUCUUACCCAGUGCUGAUGUAAAAUAAAUACAUUGGCUGCAGGGAGGAAAAGAAUAUUUUUCAUUUCUGUCAAGUCUUUAUUGUGAAAAAUCUGAGGGAAAACUUGCCAGAUAGUUGCAGGCUCUACAUGAAAAUAUUUAGAUUGCAAGCUUUUUGUGCAGAUCUUGAAAUUUUUCAAAGCUUUAGAGCUGAGGAUGGAAUCAGAUGGUAAAUCAGAGCUGUCCCAGAAUGAGAUAACUCUGCAUUAUCUUAUUACAGAACUGAGUGGAUAAGCAUAACCUUGUACGAGCUUCACUAGGGAAAAUGUGUGGAAUGGCCUUUCUCAAGCUAUUUGCCUUCCAAAGGUGGAAGUAACACAAAAAUAGCUUGAGAAAGGCCAUUCUCUUUUUAUUUCUUGAGAAUAUGGGAUCAGGGCAUGACAUUUUCAGAGUCAUUUGAGAGAACAGAAGUUGAGGGGCAUCUGGAAAUAUGCUGGCCCCCACGGGGGAAGAAAUUCCCCAAACACACCAUAUUAAAGGAGUGAAACUAAAAUUUUAACAAAACCAUGAAUAGAAAUGAAUGAAAAAAAUUGAAGGAAAGAUUAAAAGAUCCAUAUAGAAUUACUUGCAUCAUGGUUAAGGCAGGAAUCAUUUUGGAGAGGAAUGAACCACUAAACAUGCUCUAUGGAUCAACUUUUAUGUGGCCAUUCAGGGUUAAAUUAAAAAAAAGAUUCUGUUGUUCAAGUGUAUCCUUGGCUCUUUCAAGCUGGCAUUCAGCACUGAAGCUGUGGGCAGUUUCCCUGUGACCUGAGCAGCAGUUCUGACAGAAGUGGCUUGAUCCUUCUGUAAUCUGAGUAUGCUGAACCUGAAAAGCCCUUGAGAAUGGGACACUUAUGGCUUUAGCAUAGCUCCUCUUUUGAGGACUUUGCUUUUUCAUAAUGGCUAUGUUUUGGCUAGUCACACAGAAUGAACUUUUAUCUACAUUCAAACUCCAAAUGUUUUUCUCUCUCAUUCUUUUGUGAAAGAAAACAGACCUUGAAAGAAAAACAAUCAGAAAAAGACUGCUUUGAAUUUAUUUCACUCUUUCAUUUUUCCUGGUUAGGUAGGACAUACACAAAAUAAGGACCUGGUCCAGCAAGCCUUACUCCCCGUCUCAGGCCUGCAGGUUUACACCUAAACUUCCACAGGAGAAAAUUUAGGCCAUCUAGGGAAUUUGGGCACCUGAAUCCCAUUAAUUGCAAAGGGAUUUGGAGCUCUAUGCAGCUUUAAUGAAUUCAUUCUCAAAUUCUCACAAAAAAGAGCUUUUUAAAGUUGUGAUUGUUCCUCUUAUAAUGGGAUGAUGAAAGAUGAUAGAAUCAAGCAAGUAUCAACUGAAAAAUUGUUAAGUUGUAAGUAAGCCUUGCCAUCUCAUACCAGGAUGACCUUAUCUUCUUGCUCAUAGGUGCAGAAUUAUAUACUGAUACUAAUAUGGUUUCAUACAUGCACAUGCAACUUUAAGAUACUACACAAUAAAAAUACUUUAUCUUUAUUGUCACCCAUUGUGUCUGAUAUUUCAUCAAAUAAACCAGAAUGUGUACAUCACCUACUGUGCCAGAGAUAUCUUCAACUAGUCAUAUAGAACACCUCAUGAAUAAAAAAUUGUCUGCUAAUUCACUCAAUUCAAGUAAAUGCCUACCCUGACACACACUUGGCUUUUUAAAUGAGAGCUAUCACAAAUUGGCUAUAUUAUGAAAACAACCAAAGAUGGCCAACCUGUUACUUCUGUUAAGUCACUUAAUAAAAAUGUAAGUAUUUAUUCAAACACAUUCAUAUGAAUUAUAUCAU